rnacentral:rRNA from 1 species
GAUGAACGCUGGCGGCGUGCCUAAUACAUGCGAGUCGAGCGAACAGACGAGGAGCUUGCUCCUCUGACGUUAGCGGCGGACGGGUGAGUAAGACGUGGAUAAGCUAUUUAUAAGCCUGGGACAACUUCGGGAAACCGGUGCUAAUACCGGAUAAUAUCUUCAACCGCAUGGUUCUAUAGUGAAUGAUGCUUUUGCUGCCAUUUAUACAUGGACCCGGGCCGUAUUAGCUAGUUGGUAGGGUAACGGCUUACCACGGCAACGAUGCUUAGCCGACCUGAGAGGGUGAUCGGCCAACCGGGAAGGGGAACACGGUCCAAGCUCCUACGGGAGGCGGCAGAAGGGAAUCUUCCGCAAUGGGCGAAAGCCUGACGGAGCAAGCCCGCGUGAGUAAUGAAGGUCUUCGGUUCGUAAAACUCUGUUAUUGGGGAAGAGCAAAUGUGGAAGUAACUGUGCACUUCGUGACGGUACCUAAUCAGAAAGCCACGGCUAACUACGUG